ACUUUCAACAAUGGAUCUCUUGGUUCCGGCGUCCAUGAAAAACGCAGCGAAAUGCGAUAACUAAUGUGAAUUGCAUAAUUCAGUGAAUCAUCCAGUCUUUGAACGCACAUUGCGCCCCCUGGUAUUCCGGGGGGCAUGCCUGUCCGAGCGUCAUUGCU
rnacentral:rRNA from 1 species